GGGUUGUGAGGUUAAGCGACUAAGCGUACACGGUGGAUGCCCUGGCAGUCAGAGGCGAUGAAGGACGUGCUAAUCUGCGAAAAGCGACGGCGAGGUGAUAUGAACCUUUGACCCGUCGAUGUCCGAAUGGGGAAACCCAGUGUGUUUCGACACACUAUCGUUAACUGAAUACAUAGGUUAACGAGGCGAACCGGGGGAACUGAAACAUCUAAGUACCCCGAGGAAAAGAAAUCAACCGAGAUUCCCCCAGUAGCGGCGAGCGAACGGGGAGCAGCCCGGAGUCUGAAUCAGCUUGUGUGUUAGUGGAAGCGUCUGGAAAGUCGCACGGUACAGGGUGACAGUCCCGUACACGAAAAUGCACAGGUUGUGAACUCGAAGAGUAGGGCGGGACACGUGGUAUCCUGUCUGAAUAUGGGGGGACCAUCCUCCAAGGCUAAAUACUCCUGACUGACCGAUAGUGAACCAGUACCGUGAGGGAAAGGCGAAAAGAACCCCGGCGAGGGGAGUGAAAAAGAACCUGAAACCGUGUACGUACAAGCAGUGGGAGCACCUUCGUGGUGUGACUGCGUACCUUUUGUAUAAUGGGUCAGCGACUUAUAUUCUGUAGCAAGGUUAACCGUAUAGGGGAGCCGCAGGGAAACCGAGUCUUAACUGGGCGUUAAGUUGCAGGGUAUAGACCCGAAACCCGGUGAUCUAGCCAUGGGCAGGUUGAAGGUUGGGUAACACUAACUGGAGGACCGAACCGACUAAUGUUGAAAAAUUAGCGGAUGACCUGUGGCUGGGGGUGAAAGGCCAAUCAAACCGGGAGAUAGCUGGUUCUCCCCGAAAGCUAUUUAGGUAGCGCCUCGUGAACUCAUCUUCGGGGGUAGAGCACUGUUUCGGCUAGGGGGCCAUCCCGGCUUACCAACCCGAUGCAAACUACGAAUACCGAAGAAUGUUAUCACGGGAGACACACGGCGGGUGCUAACGUCCGUCGUGAAGAGGGAAACAACCCAGACCGCCAGCUAAGGUCCCAAAGUCAUGGUUAAGUGGGAAACGAUGUGGGAAGGCACAGACAGCCAGGAUGUUGGCUUAGAAGCAGCCAUCAUUUAAAGAAAGCGUAAUAGCUCACUGGUCGAGUCGGCCUGCGCGGAAGAUGUAACGGGGCUAAACCAUGCACCGAAGCUGCGGCAGCGACACUAUGUGUUGUUGGGUAGGGGAGCGUUCUGUAAGCCGUUGAAGGUGUGCUGUGAGGCAUGCUGGAGGUAUCAGAAGUGCGAAUGCUGACAUAAGUAACGAUAAAGCGGGUGAAAAGCCCGCUCGCCGGAAGACCAAGGGUUCCUGUCCAACGUUAAUCGGGGCAGGGUGAGUCGACCCCUAAGGCGAGGCCGAAAGGCGUAGUCGAUGGGAAACAGGUUAAUAUUCCUGUACUUGGUGUUACUGCGAAGGGGGGACGGAGAAGGCUAUGUCAGCCGGGCGACGGUUGUCCCGGUUUAAGCGUGUAGGUGUGUGUUCCAGGCAAAUCCGGUUCACUUUAACACUGAGGCGUGAUGACGAGGCACUACGGUGCUGAAGUGAUAAAUGCCCUGCUUCCAGGAAAAGCCUCUAAGCAUCAGGUAACACGAAAUCGUACCCCAAACCGACACAGGUGGUCAGGUAGAGAAUACCAAGGCGCUUGAGAGAACUCGGGUGAAGGAACUAGGCAAAAUGGUGCCGUAACUUCGGGAGAAGGCACGCUGAUAUGUAGGUGAAGUCCCUGCGGACGGAGCUGAAAUCAGUCGAAGAUACCAGCUGGCUGCAACUGUUUAUUAAAAACACAGCACUGUGCAAACACGAAAGUGGACGUAUACGGUGUGACGCCUGCCCGGUGCCGGAAGGUUAAUUGAUGGGGUUAGCGGCAACGCGAAGCUCUUGAUCGAAGCCCCGGUAAACGGCGGCCGUAACUAUAACGGUCCUAAGGUAGCGAAAUUCCUUGUCGGGUAAGUUCCGACCUGCACGAAUGGCGUAAUGAUGGCCAGGCUGUCUCCACCCGAGACUCAGUGAAAUUGAACUCGCUGUGAAGAUGCAGUGUACCCGCGGCAAGACGGAAAGACCCCGUGAACCUUUACUAUAGCUUGACACUGAACACUGGUCCUUGAUGUGUAGGAUAGGUGGGAGGCUUUGAAGCGUGGACGCCAGUCUGCGUGGAGCCAUCCUUGAAAUACCACCCUUUAAUGGCUGGUGUUCUAACGUGGACCCGUGAUCCGGGUUGCGGACAGUGUCUGGUGGGUAGUUUGACUGGGGCGGUCUCCUCCCAAAGAGUAACGGAGGAGCACGAAGGUUAGCUAAUCCUGGUCGGACAUCAGGAGGUUAGUGCAAUGGCAUAAGCUAGCUUGACUGCGAGAGUGACGGCUCGAGCAGGUGCGAAAGCAGGUCAUAGUGAUCCGGUGGUUCUGAAUGGAAGGGCCAUCGCUCAACGGAUAAAAGGUACUCCGGGGAUAACAGGCUGAUACCGCCCAAGAGUUCAUAUCGACGGCGGUGUUUGGCACCUCGAUGUCGGCUCAUCACAUCCUGGGGCUGAAGUAGGUCCCAAGGGUAUGGCUGUUCGCCAUUUAAAGUGGUACGCGAGCUGGGUUUAGAACGUCGUGAGACAGUUCGGUCCCUAUCUGCCGUGGGCGCUGGAGAAUUGAGGGGGGCUGCUCCUAGUACGAGAGGACCGGAGUGGACGCAUCACUGGUGUUCGGGUUGUCAUGCCAAUGGCACUGCCCGGUAGCUAAAUGCGGAAGAGAUAAGUGCUGAAAGCAUCUAAGCACGAAACUUGCCCCGAGAUGAGUUCUCCCUGAGACUUUAAGUCUCCUGAAGGAACGUUGAAGACGACGACGUUGAUAGGCCGGGUGUGUAAGCGCAGCGAUGCGUUGAGCUAACCGGUACUAAUGAACCGUGAGGCUUAACCUUACAACGCCGAAG
rnacentral:rRNA from 1 species